rnacentral:lncRNA from 1 species
UUCUAUUUAGAUGAUCAGUCAACACAAGGGAAUGGCUUGAGAUACUUCCAACAGGUUCAAAUGGGGUCUAUUCGUCAGUCAAAACAUUAAUCUUGAAGGAGCAAAAGUUUGUUCAUGAGCUGUCAUGCUCGCUAGGCGAGCAGAAUGGGUCGCCUAGCGAGUCCCAAGAAAAGCCACCAGAAUCACCUACGCUCAGAGGAAUUUCUUGAACUGUCAUGCUCGCUAGGCGAAGCCCACGUGUUAAAAAAAACGAAAAAAAAAACGAAAAAAAAACGAAAAAAAAAAUGGAAAAAAAAUGGAAAAAAAAUAAAUAAAUAAAUAAAAUAUAACAGAAAAAUUUUGGACUUGCGCCUCUCUCAUUUGAGCUCACAGGUCCACAAAAAUCAGGUUAUAAAUUCAGAGUUUCAGUGAAACAAAAUUUCAUAUUCUAUUCCUAUUACCCUGGCAGGAAAAAGAUAGUGAGAGAAGAGCUAACAGAGUUCAGAGCAACCUCCAGAGACUGAAGGGAACUCAUCGACAAAGAACCAAUUCCCUCUCAUAUAAACCCUC